AGUGAACGCUGGCGGUAGGCCUAACACAUGCAAGUCGAACGGCAGCACAGUAAGAGCUUGCUCUUACGGGUGGCGAGUGGCGGACGGGUGAGGCAUACAUCGGAAUCUACUUUUUCGUGGGGGAUAACGUAGGGAAACUUACGCUAAUACCGCAUACGACCUACGGGUGAAAGCAGGGGAUCUUCGGACCUUGCGCGAUUGAAUGAGCCGAUGUCGGAUUAGCUAGUUGGCGGGGUAAAGGCCCACCAAGGCGACGAUCCGUAGCUGGUCUGAGAGGAUGAUCAGCCACACUGGAACUGAGACACGGUCCAGACUCCUACGGGAGGCAGCAGUGGGGAAUAUUGGACAAUGGGCGCAAGCCUGAUCCAGCCAUACCGCGUGGGUGAAGAAGGCCUUCGGGUGGUAAAGCCCUUUUGUUGGGAAAGAAAAGCAGCAGGUUAAUACCCAGCUGUUCUGACGGUACCCAAAGAAUAAGCACCGGCUAACUUCGUG
rnacentral:rRNA from 1 species